AGAUUGAACGCUGGCGGCAUGCCUUACACAUGCAAGUCGAACGGUAGAGUAGCAAUACUUGAGAGUGGCGAACGGGUGAGUAAUAUAUCGGAACGUGCCCAGUCGUGGGGGAUAACGUAGAGAAAUUUACGCUAAUACCGCAUACGAUCUAAGGAUGAAAGCGGGGGACUCGCAAGAGCCUCGCGCGAUUGGAGCGGCUGAUAUCAGAUUAGGUUGUUGGUGAGGUAAAAGCUCACCAAGCCGACGAUCUGUAGCUGGUUUGAGAGAACGACCAGCCACACUGGGACUGAGACACGGCCCAGACUCCUACGGGAGGCAGCAGUGGGUAAUUUUGGACAAGUGGGCGAAAGCCUGAUCCAGCGAUGCCGCGUGACGAGGAAGAAGGUCCUUCGGGUUGUAACGUGUCUUUUAGUACGGAACGUAACGGUCUGCUUUAAUACGAGCGGUAACUAAUAGGACGUAACCGUAAGAA
rnacentral:rRNA from 1 species